ensembl:lncRNA
CCUCACUCAGGCCCCGCCCACUGCGCGGAGCGGAGCGGCGCUGAGCGGUGAGCGGCUGCGGGCGGCCCUAUGGGGCGGCCGUUACUUAUGGGGCUGAGGUCACUUAUGGGGCCGGGGUUACUUAUGGGGCGGCCUUAUGGGGCCGGGGUUACUUAUGGGGCGGCCGUUACUUAUGGGGCGGCCCUUAUGGGGUUGAGGUUGUUUAUGGGGCUGCGGUUACUUAUGGGGGGGCCCUUAUAGGGCCGUGGUUACUUAUGGGGCGGCCGUUACUUAUGGGGCUGAGGUCACUUAUGGGGCCGGGGUUACUUAUGGGGCCGUGGUUACUUACGGAGCGGCCCUUAUGGGGUGGCCCUUACGGGGCCGUGGUUACUUAUGGGGCGGCCUUAUGGGGCCGUGGUUACUUAUGGGGCGGCCUUAUGGGGCUGUGGUUACUUAUUGGGGGGGCCCUUAUAGGGCCGUGGUUACUUAUGGGGCCGUGCUUACUCAUGGGGCUGUGGUUACUUAUGGGGCGGUCUUAUGGGGCUGUGGUUACUUAUGGGGCGGUCUUAUGGGGCCGUGGUUACUUAUGGGGCGGCCGUUAUGGGGUUGAGGUUGCUUAUGGGGCUGCAGUUACUUAUGGGGGGGCCCUUAUAGGGCCGUGGUUACUUAUGGGGCGGCGUUUAUGGGGCUGUGGUUACUUAUGGGGCGGCCUUAUGGCGCUGUGGUUACUUAUGGGGCGGCUGUUAUGGGGUUGAGGUUACUUAUGGGGCGGCCUUAUGGGGCUGUGGUUACUUAUGGGGCGGCCUUAUGGGGCUGCAGUUACUUAUGGGGUGGCCUUAUGGGACUGAGGUUACUUAUGGGGCUGAGGUUGCUUAUGAAGUGGCCCUUCUAGGGCUAUACUUGCUUAUGGGGCGGCCCUUAUGGGGUUAAGGUUGCUUAUGGGGCGGCCUUAUGGGGCCGUGGUUACUUAUGGGGCCGUGCUCACUUAUGGGGCGGCCUCAUGGGGCUGCACUCACUCAUGGGGUCGUGGUUACUUAUGGGGUGGCCUUAUGGGGCCGCGCUCACUUAUGGGGCCGCGCUCACUUAUGGGGCUGUGUUCACUUAUGGGGCCGUGCUCACUCAUGGGGCGUUCUUAUGGGGCCGUGCUCACUUAUGGGGCGGUUUUAUGGGGCCGUGUUCACUUAUGGGGCUGUGGUUACUUAUAGGGUGGCCCUUAUGGGGCCGUGGUUACUUAUGGGGUGGCCUUAUGGGGCCGCACUCACUUAUGGGGCCGUGGUUACUUUUGGGGCGGCCUUAUGGGGCCGUGGUUACUUAUGGGGCCGUGCUCACUCAUGGGGCGGCCUCAUGGGGCUGCACUCACUCAUGGGGUCGUGGUUACUUAUGGGGUGGCCUUAUGGGGCCGCGCUCACUUAUGGGGCCGCGCUCACUUAUGGGGCUGUGGUAACAUAUGGGGCGGCCUUAUGGGGCCGUGCUCACUUAUGGGGCGUUCUUAUGGGGCCGUGCUCACUUAUGGGGCGGUUUUAUGGGGCCGUGUUCACUUAUGGGGCUGUGGUUACUUAUAGGGUGGCCCUUAUGGGGCCGUGGUUACUUAUGGGGUGGCCUUAUGGGGCCGCACUCACUUAUGGGGCGGCCUUAUGGGGCUUUGCUCACUUAUGGGGCCGCGCUCACUUAUGGGGCCGCUUUAUAGGGCCGUGGUUAUUUAUGGGGCCGUGGUAACUUAUGGGGUGGCCUUAUGGGGCCAUGGUUAUGUAUGGGACUCCGCUCACUUAUGGGGCUGUGGUUACUUAUGGGGCGGCCUUAUGGGGCCGUGCUCGCUUAUGGGGCCGUGCUUACUCAUGGGGCGGCCUUAUAGGGCCGUGCUUACUCAUAGGGCCGUGCUCACUUAUGGGGCCGUGGUUACUUAUGGGGCAGCCUUAUGGGGCCGCGCUCACUUAUGGGGCCGUGGUUACUUAUGGGGCAGCCUUAUGGGGCCGUGGUUACUUAUGGGGCCGUGGUUACUUAUGGGGCAGCCUUAUGGGGCCGUGGUUACUUAUGGGGCCGUGGUUACUUAUGGGGCAGCCUUAUGGGGCCGCGCUCACUCAUGGGGCCGCGCUCACUCGUGGGGCCGUGGUUACUUAUGGGGCAGCCUUAUGGGGCCGCGCUCACUCAUGGGGCCGUGGUUACUUAUGGGGCAGCCUUAUGGGGCCGCGCUCACUCAUGGGGCCGUGGUUACUUAUGGGGCAGCCUUAUGGGGCCGCGCUCACUCAUGGGGCCGCGCUCACUCAUGGGGCCGCGCUCACUUAUGGGGCCGCGCUCACUUAUGGGGCUGCGCUCACUUAUGGGGCCGUGCUUACUCAUGGGGCCACGCUCACUUAUGGGGCUGCCUUAUGGGGCUGUGCUCACUUAUGGGCCCAUGCUUACUUAUGGGGCGGCCUUAUGGGGCCGCGCUCACUUAUGGGGCCGCUUUAUAGGGCCGUGGUUAUUUAUGGGGCCGUGGUAACUUAUGGGGUGGCCUUAUGGGGCCGUGGUAACUUAUGGGGCAGCCUUAUGGGGCCGUGCUCGCUCAUGGGGCCAUGCUUACUCAUGGGGCCGUGCUUACUUAUGGGGCGGCCUUAUGGGGCCGCGCUCACUUAUGGGGCCGUGGUUACUUAUGGGGCAGCCUUAUGGGGCCGCGCUCACUUAUGGGGCCGCGCUCACUUAUGGGGCCGUGGUUACUUAUGGGGCAGCCUUAUGGGGCCGCGCUCACUUAUGG